rnacentral:rRNA from 1 species
AGAGUUUGAUCCUGGCUCAGAUUGAACGCUGGCGGUAUGCUUAACACAUGCAAGUCGAACGGUAACAGGCCUUCGGGCGCUGACGAGUGGCGGACGGGUGAGUAACGCGUAGGAAUCUGCCUUAUAGUGGGGGACAACGUGGGGAAACCCACGCUAAUACCGCAUACGCCCUACGGGGGAAAGCGGGGGCUCUUCGGACCUCGCGCUAUGAGAUGAGCCUGCGUUAGAUUAGCUAGUUGGUAGGGUAAAGGCCUACCAAGGCGACGAUCUAUAGCUGGUCUGAGAGGACGAUCAGCCACACUGGGACUGAGACACGGCCCAGACUCCUACGGGAGGCAGCAGUGGGGAAUAUUGGACAAUGGGCGCAAGCCUGAUCCAGCAAUACCGCGUGUGUGAAGAAGGCCUUCGGGUUGUAAAGCACUUUCAAUUGGGAGGAAAACCUGCCGGUCAAUACCCGGUAGCUUGACAUUACCUUUAGAAGAAGCACCGGCUAACUCCGUGCCAGCAGCCGCGGUAAUACGGAGGGUGCGAGCGUUAAUCGGAAUUACUGGGCGUAAAGCGUGCGUAGGCGGUUCGUUAAGUCAGAUGUGAAAGCCCCGGGCUUAACCUGGGAACUGCAUUUGAAACUGGCGAACUAGAGUUGAGUAGAGGGGAGUGGAAUUUCAGGUGUAGCGGUGAAAUGCGUAGAUAUCUGAAGGAACACCAGUGGCGAAGGCGACUCCCUGGACUCAAACUGACGCUGAGGUACGAAAGCGUGGGUAGCAAACAGGAUUAGAUACCCUGGUAGUC